CCCCACAAAUGUGGCCAGCCACACGCUGGAAUACGACGCAGCCGUGAAGAGGAGUGAAGCCCUGACACAGCCACACCGUGGACGGACCCUGAACACACAACGCUCAGUGAGAGAACCAGACACAGAGGGA